rnacentral:rRNA from 1 species
CCUACGGGAGGCAGCAGUGAGGAAUAUUGGUCAAUGGGCUUACGCCUGAACCAGCCAAGUCGCGUGAGGGAAGACUGCCCUAUGGGUUGUAAACCUCUUUUGUCAGGGAGCAACGCCGGCUACGUGUAGCGUUAUCGAGAGUACCUGAAGAGAAAGCAUCGGCUAACUCCGUGCCAGCAGCCGCGGUAAUACGGAGGAUGCGAGCGUUAUCCGGAUUUAUUGGGUUUAAAGGGUGCGUAGGCGGAAUAUCAAGUCAGCGGUAAAAAUUCGGGGCUCAACCCCGUCGUGCCGUUGAAACUGAUGUU